CGAUAAUUAAUUGCAAUGCCUACUAGAUAAUAGUAGUUAACUAUUGUGCACAACUUUUUCUCAGUAUAAUAUUUAGUCUCAACUUGGUUUUUGGUUGUUGACAAAUUCAUGAUGAUAUUUCGUACACUUAUAAUCUCGGUACAAAUACUUCUAGUCUUAAAUGAAAAUCCAGAAUUGGCAUUUAAAAUAUCUAAACAAAAG